UACAGAGGGUGCGAGCGUUGUUCGGAAUUAUUGGGCGUAAAGCGCUUGUAGGCGGCACGUCAAGUCGCGUGUGAAAUCCCCCAGGCUUAACCUGGGAAGUGCGCGCGAAACUGACGAGCUUGAGUGCCGGAGAGGGUCGCGGAAUUCCCGGUGUAGAGGUGAAAUUCGUAGAUAUCGGGAGGAACACCAGUGGCGAAGGCGGCGACCUGGACGGACAC
rnacentral:rRNA from 1 species